rnacentral:rRNA from 1 species
GCAUAUCAAUAAGCGGAGGAAAAGAAACCAACAGGGAUUGCCUUAGUAACGGCGAGUGAAGCGGCAACAGCUCAAAUUUGAAAUCUGGCGUCUUUGGCGUCCGAGUUGUAAUUUGCAGAGGGCGCUUUGGCAUUGGCAGCGGUCCAAGUUCCUUGGAACAGGACGUCACAGAGGGUGAGAAUCCCGUACGUGGUCGCUAGCCUUUACCGUGUAAAGCCCCUUCGACGAGUCGAGUUGUUUGGGAAUGCAGCUCUAAAUGGGAGGUAAAUUUCUUCUAAAGCUAAAUACUGGCCAGAGACCGAUAGCGCACAAGUAGAGUGAUCGAAAGAUGAAAAGCACUUUGGAAAGAGAGUUAAAAAGCACGUGAAAUUGUUGAAAGGGAAGCGCUUGCAGCCAGACUUGCUUGUAGUUGCUCAUCCGGGUUUUUACCCGGUGCACUCUUCUAUAAGCAGGCCAGCAUCAGUUUGGGCGGUUGGAUAAAGGUCUCUGUCAUGUACCUCUCUUCGGGGAGAACUUAUAGGGGAGACGACAUGCAACCAGCCUGGACUGAGGUCCGCGCAUCUGCUAGGAUGCUGGCGUAAUGGCUGUAAGCGGCCCGUCUUGAAACACGGACCAAGGAGUCUAACAUCUAUGCGAGUGUUUGGGUGUCAAGCCCGAGCGCGUAAUGAAAGUGAACGGAGGUGGGAACCCCUCGGGGUGCACCAUCGACCGAUCCUGAUGUCUUCGGAUGGAUUUGAGUAAGAGCAUAGCUGUUGGGACCCGAAAGAUGGUGAACUAUGCUUGAAUAGGGUGAAGCCAGAGGAAACUCUGGUGGAGGCUCGCAGCGGUUCUGACGUGCAAAUCGAUCGUCAAAUUUGGGCAUAGGGGGCGAAAGACUAAUCGAACUAUCUAGUAGCUGGUUCUGCGA